CUGAUCCAUUUAAUCAUUGUUAUUAGAUGUGUCAUUUUAUUGCCCAACUCUAGAUCAAAACUAGGUAAAUGCCUCCUUCAUUAAUAAGAACAAUCACUUUAUUAGUUUACAAGAGAUAGUUUUUUAACCUUGUUUUUAAAAAAUGUGAUAUACACAUCAAACUGGCCCAGCUCUCAGUACUCUCAAUACCUUCAUUCAUCAAAGGUAGCACUUUGACUAAGCAUCCAGUUGCGUAAUAAUUUUGGUUACAUGACAUAAAGGUAAACUAAUGUGUUUAGCUCAUAUGCUAUUCCCUUAAAAAUUACAUUUCGUAUGUAUCAGCAUCUCAUGUUAUUUUUUUAUUUUUUCAAUCUACUUGUACAAGAUUACGAAAAUGAUCUGAUUUUUUUCUUCGACAGAUGCUGGCCGUGCUGUCUGAUUCCAUUCUGCGUGGACGGCUGUAAGGAUGUGGUCCACUCUUGCGCCAACUGUCACCAGACCAUCGGACGUUACAACAGAAUGUAGACCAAAGAGAGGAAGUGGGGACCAGUUUAGAGGACGAUCAGUUCAAGAAAUGAACAGUGGCACUGUUUAUAAACACCAUUGGUCUUUGAUUCUAAAUUUCAAAUGAUAACUAAUUUGAUAUUUUUGAAGCUGUUGAGAUUAACCUGUACAUGUGCUAUGAAAGAUAACCAAACUGAUUUUUUAUCAACAUUACUGAAUAUCUCAUCAUGUACAUUAAAUUACGUUUGUAAUACCCUUAAUUGUUAUACUGUAGUAUACAUUAUUGUCCUUUGUUGUACAUUUUUUAUUGUAAUAUUCUAACUACUUGCCUUUAAGAAUCUCUGCUCAUCUUUCAUCAAGUGGUGUACAUCUAAAAGCAAAUUUUUUUAAAUCUCAAAGUAAAUUGAUUUUAAAUAUUGGAUUUUAAAUAAUUUCUUUUACCAUUCUAAAAUCAUUUUUCAUAUUUGAUUUAAUUAAAAAUAAAAAAGUAACUUUGUACAUAAAUCACCAUCUGAAUCUGUUAGAUUGUAUUUUAAAUCUGUAAGUGUUGUAGUUAAAAUGCACGUUUUGUAAAGAUUGUGAAAUUGGGCAUUAGUUUUAAUGUUGGAGGUGCAAUGAAUUUUGCUGUGAUGUAUUUUAUUUUUGAGAGAAAUGCCCGAUUUAUUUGUUUACAGACAUAUAAAACACAUGUGCACUAGUUUAAUUGAUAUAUGAUAACACUGAUAAACGUUUGCUAUCAUUGUUACUUUGCUUUUCUUAAAAAAAAAAGAGGAAAACUUUUUAUAUGUUUAAAUUUAUGAUUUUUUAUAAUGUUUUAUUUGUUUAAACAAGACAAUUGAUUAGUACACUAGGAUAUAUUCUCUGUAUUUAAAGUCAUUUCUCAAAUAAAUCCUUUAGUAUCGAC
rnacentral:misc_RNA from 1 species